UUUUUAACAAUCCUAACUAAACUGAAAAUGCAAUUUAGUUAUAUUAAUUUUCACAGGUAAAAAUGAAUCAAACUACUUGAAAAAAUAAAAUACACAUAUUUUCUUUAGAAAUUAGCUCCUAAUUAAAGCUGCUGUCAUGUCAGAUUUGGUUUGAUAUCAACUUUGUACUAUUUUAUAGUAUUUUCACCAGAGCAUAAAUUUAUUAUUUUAAUACAUAUUGGCAUUUCCUAAAUUCUUGUGUAAGUUCUGGCACUUUAUCCUGCAGUAUUGAUGAGAUGAUAUAAUUAUGCUAAAGCAUUUUCUUUUUUGUAGCGACUAAAUAUUCGGCCAUUUAACUUUUUUUUUCUUUUUUCAUUUGACCGAGCCAUAUGAUAUUAUACUUGUCAGUUUCAUCUCAUUUUUAUCUAGGUCACAUUGUUGCUGAGGAAACAUGCAAUCUAGCAAAUGUUUAACAAAUACCUCUAGACUCUCUAGCUAAAGUUAACCGGGGUAGCUAGGGUAAAAUUAUCUCAGGUUCAGGUCUGUCUGUGAAUUAAAAUCACUAUGAGUCAGGGAUGCACAGCUUAGAACACAUUUCAGGAAGUUCUCUGGGCAGCUAGUCAGAGCUGUGCAUGUAUUUUUCUGAUAAGAAAACACUUAUUGCCCACAUACCUGUUAACAUGUAUGAAAAUAGCACUUUUAUCUAAGUACUAGUCUGCAAGACUGCAGAUGCAUGAAGGUAAGUGCUACUAUUAGAAUGUUAUAUUCAUACUGAACAAGCUUUUUACAUCAUUUGAUAGAUUAAAAUGUGCACGUGAGCACUCUUGACCCUGCACAUAUGUGUAGAUCUUGAACAGCUUGUUCACACACAAUGAUAGAAAAUAGCAUUGCUCCAAUAUUAGCAUACUUUAUUAAUGUGCUGCUUAACAUGUAUGAAGGGAAAGACACAUUAGAGAGAAGAUAAGACAGGGAAAAAUAAAUGUGUUUUUAAAAAAGCAAAUUGAAAAGAGAAAGGGGAGAGAAAAGAGGGGAGUGGGGGGUUAGGAUGAGAAGAUGAGAGUUGUGGAUGAGAGAUGAGAAGUGGGUAGGAGAGGA
ensembl:lncRNA